CAGUGCGGAGAUUUAAGUAUCAAACAGUAGUGAGCAGUCGCCCUUGAGCAGUCAAAUGUGCUUUGGCCAAAUUAUGUUGUGACAGACAUUCGUUUUGACAUUUUCCUACAGGAUAACUAAGGAAAUGAGAAUUCGUGAUGCUCGAGCAAAUUACUUACUUUUAGAGAAAGUAUCACGUGGUUUGUUUAUUGUGUUUCCAUUUAUGUGUUUGCCAUCCGUCUGGCAAGAAUUUUUCGUGAUCUUUGGAUUAAAGUGCGAUUGACUUCAGGUGUUUCUAACUUUUCUAGACUAUCAAGUACCAACAGGUGUCAAUGGCAUUUGUCGCUUUGGGAAAGAUGACAUCAAACACCCAACUCAAAUCCCCCCAAAACAAUAGGCUGCUCGAUAAGUUAUCCCGAGUUAUCGAAAAUCUGGCCAUAUCCUUUGAGCCCGAAACUUCAUGUGAAGAAGGAUUGGCGAAAAUUAUCCUUGCACUAUCGAAUUUCUCUUCGGUAGACUACAGAAAUCAAGGCGAGCACUCAGCAGCAAUUCCUCUGCCUGAUUUGGCUUCUCCGAAACAGCCGGAAAUACUCAAAAAGUUCCCCCGCGUGAAAUUUAAUUUCACCGGUCAUGGCAAAAAGGCGCAAACUUUUUCAAACGCCAAGGGUCGGAAACUUGAUGAGUCUAUUGCGCGAUUAAGAAAAGCCAACAAGGAACUGAAGAAAAAGUUGAAUAAAGCUAGACAAGGCAAGUAAUUAAUAAUUG